rnacentral:rRNA from 1 species
UACGUAGGUGCGAGCGUUAAUCGGAAUUACUGGGCGUAAAGCGUGCGCAGGUGGUUGUGUAAGCUUGAUGUGAAAUCCCCGGGCUUAACCUGGGAAUGGCAUUGAGGACUGCACGGCUAGAGUGUGGCAGAGGGGGGUGGAAUUCCGCGUGUAGCAGUGAAAUGCGUAGAGAUGCGGAGGAACACCGAUGGCGAAGGCAGCCCCCUGGGCUAACACUGACACUCAUGCACGAAAGCGUGGGGAGCAAACAGGG